rnacentral:rRNA from 1 species
AAGACCUUGCGCUUUUGGAGCGGCCGAUGCCUGAUUAGCUUGUUGGUAAGGUAAAAGCUUACCAAGGCUUCGAUCAGUAGCUGGUCUGAGAGGACGGCCAGCCACACUGGGACUGAGACACGGCCCAGACUCCUACGGGAGGCAGCAGUGGGGAAUUUUGGACAAUGGGCGCAAGCCUGAUCCAGCCAUGCCGCGUGAGUGAAGAAGGCCUUCGGGUUGUAAAUCUCUUUCAGCCGGGAAGAAAAGGUUGCGACUAAUAAUCGCAAUUCAUGACGGUACCGAAAGAAGAAGCACCGGCUAACUACGUGCCAGCAGCCGCGGUAAUACGUAGGGUGCGAGCGUUAAUCGGAAUUACUGGGCGUAAAGGGUGCGCAGGCAGUUUUGUAAGUCAGAUGUGAAAUCCCCGGGCUUAACCUGGGAACU